AACGAACGCUGGCGGCAGGGCCUAACACAUGCAAGUCGAGCGCGCCUUCCGGGUGAGCGGCGGACGGGUUAGUAACGCGUGGGAACGUGCCCUUCUCUACGGAAUAGUCCCGGGAAACUGGGUUUAAUACCGUAUACGCCCUUCCGGGGGAAAGAUUUAUCGGAGAAGGAUCGGCCCGCGUUGGAUUAGAUAGUUGGUGGGGUAAUGGCCUACCAAGUCGACGAUCUAUAGCUGGUCUGAGAGGAUGAUCAGCCACACUGGGACUGAGACACGGCCCAGACUCCUACGGGAGGCAGCAGUGGGGAAUAUUGGACAAUGGGCGAAAGCCUGAUCCAGCAAUGCCGCGUGAGUGAUGAAGGCCUUAGGGUUGUAAAGCUCUUUCGUCGGGGAAGAAAAUGACUGUACCCGAAUAAGAAGGUCCGGCUAACUUCGUG
rnacentral:rRNA from 1 species